rnacentral:piRNA from 1 species
UCAAAUGUUGAAUUUCUGAUC